UCUGGAGAUCUGAAGAAGAAGAUUAAUCAGCCAUCAUGAGUGGAUCUCUGCAAGGGAGCUAGCACUCCGGAGAGAUCAAUGAACCUUCAAUUAGAUCGAGAGCUUCAUGUGGAUAUCUAUGGAGGUUGGACAUGUGUGCAGCUCUAAAAAUCUGUAAAUUCAUGACAUCAGCUGCGGUGUAUUGAUCCACGUAAAGAUAUUGAGAUCUGAUCUCACAUACAUGAUAGAUAUGAUCUAUGUGAUAGA
rnacentral:lncRNA from 1 species